rnacentral:rRNA from 1 species
CUUCCGUAGGUGAAACUGCGG